rnacentral:rRNA from 1 species
UAGCGUAUAUUAAAGUUGUUGCGGUUAAAAAGCUCGUAGUUGGAUUUCUGUUGAAGACCGGCGGUCCACCUUUUGGGUGAGUAUCUGCAUAGGUGUCGGCAUCUUCUCGAAAAACGUUUCUGCGCUUGAUUGCGUGGUACGGGGUUCGGGACUUUUACUUUGAGGAAAUUAGAGUGUUCACGGCAGGCAUACGCCUUGAAUAUAUUAGCAUGGAAUAAUAAUAUAGGAUCUUGGUUCUAUUUUGUUGGUUUCUAGAGCUAAGAUAAUGAUUAAUAGGGACAAUUGGGGGCAUUCGUAUUAACGCGUC